rnacentral:rRNA from 1 species
UGUCUUAGCUUGCUAAGGCUGAUGGCGACCGGCGCACGGGUGAGUAACACGUAUCCAACCUGCCGUCUACUCUUGGCCAGCCUUCUGAAAGGAAGAUUAAUCCAGGAUGGCAUCAUGAGUUCACAUGUCCGCAUGAUUAAAGGUAUUUUCCGGUAGACGAUGGGGAUGCGUUCCAUUAGAUAGUAGGCGGGGUAACGGCCACCUAGUCAACGAUGGAUAGGGGUUCUGAGAGGAAGGUCCCCCACAUUGGAACUGAGACACGGUCCAAACUCCUACGGGAGGCAGCAGUGAGGAAUAUUGGUCAAUGGGCGAUGGCCUGAACCAGCCAAGUAGCGUGAAGGAUGACUGCCCUAUGGGUUGUAAACUUCUUUUAUAAAGGAAUAAAGUCGGGUAUGCAUACCCGUUUGCAUGUACUUUAUGAAUAAGGAUCGGCUAACUCCGUGCCAGCAGCCGCGGUAAUACGGAGGAUCCGAGCGUUAUCCGGAUUUAUUGGGUUUAAAGGGAGCGUAGAUGGAUGUUUAAGUCAGUUGUGAAAGUUUGCGGCUCAACCGUAAAAUUGCAGUUGAUACUGGAUGUCUUGAGUGCAGUUGAGGCAGGCGGAAUUCGUGGUGUAGCGGUGAAAUGCUUAGAUAUCACGAAGAACUCCGAUUGCGAAAGCAGCCUGCUAAGCUGCAACUGACAUUGAGGCUCGAAAGUGUGGGUAUCAAACAGGAUUAGAUACCCUGGUAGUCCACACGGUAAACGAUGAAUACUCGCUGUUGCGAUAUACGGCAAGCGGCCAAGCGAAAGCGU